UUCGAUUCCCUGGUGUUGCGCUUUUCUGAAUUUCACUUGAUUUCUCAUUUCCCUGGCCUGCGCGUGUUCGAUUCCUGGCUUGCGCGUUUUUGAAUUUCAUUUGUUUUCUCCUGUCCAUGCGCGUGUUCGAAUCCUGGCUCAUGCGUUUGCUGAUUUUUAUUCAAAUCUUUUCUUUCCCUCCAUUAUUUCAUAUUAUUUCAUUUUUAUUUUGUUCAAUUUUAAAAAUCAUUAAAAAUUG
rnacentral:lncRNA from 1 species